rnacentral:rRNA from 1 species
UGUUUUUCAAAAACAUAGCCUUAGGAAAUUAUCUAAGGUUUAACCUGCUCAAUGUAUAAGUUUUGAACAUAAUAUAAAUAGCCGCGGUACUUUGACCGUGCUAAGGUAGCGCAAUAAAUUGGCUUUUAAUUGGAGUCAAGUAUGAAUGGAGUUACGGAAUUUGACUGUCUCUAAACUAAUUUCUUGAAAUUACUAUAUAGGUGAAAAAGCCUAUGAAAAAAAAAUAGACGAGAAGACCCUUAGAGUUUUAUUUAAUGUGAAUUUUUUUUCAUAAUAAUUUAGUUGGGGCAACUUAGGAACAAAAUAAAUUAAUAACUUCCUAAAAUUUGGAAUAUCUAACGAUUUUUAUAAAAAUACAUAAACUACCUUAGGGAUAACAGCAUAAUUUAUUAUAUAAGUUUGUGACCUCGAUGUUGGACUAGGGAAUUGAAAGGCUAGCCGCUUUUUAAAAAGGUUCUGUUCGAACUAUUUAAUCCUACGUG